rnacentral:rRNA from 1 species
UGGGGAAUUUUGGACAAUGGGUGAAAGCCUGAUCCAGCAAUGCCGCGUGUGUGAAGAAGGCCUUCGGGUUGUAAAGCACUUUUGUCCGGAAAGAAAUCCUUGGCUCUAAUACAGUCGGGGGAUGACGGUACCGGAAGAAUAAGCACCGGCUAACUACGUGCCAGCAGCCGCGGUAAUACGUAGGGUGCAAGCGUUAAUCGGAAUUACUGGGCGUAAAGCGUGCGCAGGCGGUUUGCUAAGACCGAUGUGAAAUCCCCGGGCUCAACCUGGGAACUGCAUUGGUGACUGGCAGGCUAGAGUAUGGCAGAGGGGGGUAGAAUUCCACGUGUAGCAGUGAAAUGCGUAGAGAUGUGGAGGAAUACCGAUGGCGAAGGCAGCCCCCUGGGCCAAUACUGACGCUCAUGCACGAAAGCGUGGGGGAGCAAACAGGAUUAGAUACCCUGGUAGUCCACGCCCUAAACGAUGUCAACUAGUUGUUGGGGGAUUCAUUUCCUUAGUAACGUAGCUAACGCGUGAAGUUGACCGCCUGGGGAGUACGGUCGCAAGAUUAAAACUCAAAUGAAUUGACGGGGU